rnacentral:rRNA from 1 species
GACGUAGGGUGCGAGCGUUGUCCGGAUUUAUUGGGCGUAAAGAGCUCGUAGGCGGUCUGUUGCGUCAGGAGUGAAAACUCGGGGCUUAACCCCGAGCCUGCUUCUGAUACGGGCAGACUAGAGGUAUGCAGGGGAGAACGGAAUUCCUGGUGUAGCGGUGAAAUGCGCAGAUAUCAGGAGGAACGCCGAUGGCGAAGGCAGGUCUCUGGGCCACUACUGACGCUGAGAAGCGAAAGCAUGGGGAGCGAACAGG